CGGAGAAGAUAGAUAAUCAAUACACUUGUAUGUUUGCACUGGUGCAUGUAGAUUUCUUUUGUUUAACGAUCUGUGAUGUUGGAAUGGAUUAAGAAAUACAUAUUUUGUCAGCCUGUUGCUGCUAGCUUAGCUAAAUUAGCUACUGAGUCACUCACUCGUCAUGGAGACUGCUCACUGGUCCGAAGACACAUUAUUCCGAAACCCCAAUAUAUGGAGAAUGUCCCAUUGGACCGAAUACCCAUAGUCUGACAACCUGUUGCUCCGAAAAAAACACUCUUUUGGAGCUCAGUGACUAUUAUGAGAUAAUUUCUCAUAAUAAUGACUUAGCAUCUCAAAAUGAUGAGAAACUAAGUAUAAUAUUUGCAUAGGACUAUUCCUCAUAUGCACCAAAGCAACAGAAGCAAGUGGGUAAGACGAAGCUUAGCAGACCCAAAUGGUUGUCAUCAUUGAAGACUACUUCAGAUGUGGAUUCACAAAUCGUGAAAUAUUAGUGGUUUUGGAGGAAUCACAUAAUAUCAAACUAAGCCUCUGGACCCUAGAGAGAAAGCUAGAAAAAAACCAGCUUUGGCGAAGAUGAAAUAAGACUGAUGAAGCUGAAGUGGCAUCCUUCAUUGAGCAACAGCUACAAACGUCCGGCAAACAGCAUGGUUACAGAUGGAUGCACCAGAAAUGUUGGAUGGCAGGGAUUAAGUCCAAUUUAUAAGAAAAAAACAAAAAAUGUUGGUAAAUACAGAUUCAUUAAAUUUGGUUUCAUAUUUGUUAGUUUGCAAAAAAUUCUUAAUAAAUAAGACCCUUAACAAUUCUUUAACUGACAGAAAAUAUGUAAUUAUGAGAAAUAGUAGUAGUGUCUCAAAAUAAUGAGAAACCUUCUCAAUAUUUUGACUUCGGCCUACCAUCAAGAAGUCACAUGCACUAGCUAGCUUUCUGUCAUUGAUAGGCAAGUGAUUUCGGAGUAACGUUACGGGUGUGGAGCAUGCUAGUGCUCUCGACAACAAACCUAGAUGUGAGCAUCUUGAAGAGUCUUUGUGAACAAGUCAGGCUUGGCUAUCACAGCCAAACAGGCCAUGAAGAAAUGAAAUAAUCUAAAGGAGAAAUACAAGGUUGGACAAGCCAAGCCAGAGAUGCCUGUGUCCGCCCUGCACUGCAUACAUGGAGCGGCUGCUGUUAAUGGUGAACGCCUGCAGCAUACAAAGAGGAGCUGCCACUGUGGUCUGGACCUCAACAGUUUCCCCCGCCAUCAAUUCAGUCCACUGGUGGGUCAGUCGGUCCAGUGUUGGCAGGUGUUUACUGGUCACGGGAUGAGUCCACCCGCAGCCUGUGGGAUGACCAUAUGGGACAUGAAAUCCUCCAGGCCAACAUGUCCCACUGUCAAUUCCAAUUUAUCAACUCCAAGUUGUGCUUUGAUGACCGGCUUUCACAGGCUUGCAUGCCAGAGAGACAACAAACUUGCUGCCCUUUCACCGCUGUGGGUGGAACAACUUCCUCUUCUCUUCAACUCGGGCCAGGAUAUUUGUGUGAAUGAACAGCUGGUGCAGUUCAAAGGUCACUGCAAAUUCCAACAAUACACGCCAAACAAACCGGGGAAGUACGGGAUCAAGAUUUGAUGUCUGCACAUCAUAUGCCUGAAAUAUGCAGGUUUACAGCGGGGAAAAAAAAGACAGAUGUCCGGUGGAGUUGAACCAGGGGAGGAGAGUUGUUUUGGAGCUGACAGACAGUGACAUGUGAUAACUUCUUUACAUCUUAUGCACUGGUGGAAGAGCUCCACACGCUUAGUGAAUAUAUGUGCUUGUUGUCAGCACCUACAGCUGCAAGAGAAGGACCUGUAUGUGGCCACUGGCCCUGUUCUCCUGGACGUCUCUGCAUUCAACUCAUUCAUGUUGUGUGGAUGGCUGUGGAUCCCUCCUGGCACCAGGGCAACUUACAAAUGCCAACUUUUCUUGCAGGAGCUGGGAAGAAUGCUGGUGCAACAUCGGCAGCGGCUCCCCUGCACACCAAGCUCCGCUGCCAUGGUGGCAGAAGCAAGGAGAAGACAGCGGGGGACCCAGACAGCUCCCCAACCCCCCCAAAAUGAGGAGAUGGUGCGUGUUUUGCACCAACCAUAGGAAGAAGAUUGCCAACACCUGUUGCAAGUGAGGCAAGUAUAUUUGCCAAGCUCACACAUCUCACUACUGCAGCUCCUCCUGUAUUUAUGCUGUGUUUCUAGAACAAAAUGAGGUAAUAUGCUCUUAGAAAGUAAAAGCUUUGAAGGGUAAUAGGACACUUUAGGUGCACUACAGGUUAACAGGUCAGAUUCUUUACUUUAAUCUUAUACUGCAUUAAAAAUAAUAAUGCACAAAUAUCAAUGUUGUUGCUAAACAUUGACAUAUCCCAGACUGUAAUAUGUUUUUUUUUUUUUUUAAAUCCCCUCUUGCCUUUAGUAUGUUGAAAAUAUUUCAAUUUUUGUGUUUUUUCUCUUACAAAAUUUAGUGGUAUCAUCACAAAAACUGGCAUUUAAAGAGUUAAAAUGAGUCAAUAUUUGGUAGUUAUGAUCAGGACUGAAGUUGGUUACAAAAAAAUGAACUCAGUCAAAGUGGAAAAAAAAUUCCUCUCCACAGGCUAUUUGGACUCUUCGGGAGAGAUGAGCCACUAGGUCCCCUGUUACUCACCCUUCCCAUUUAGUGAUGUAGAGGGACAGCUGUAGGACCUGUAGUCCAUUCUGCUUAGGGAAUUUUACCCAUCCUAUUCAGUCAGUUGUUUACCGGAUGUAAUGAAGUUUAAUUAUAUAAUGGUGUGAUUCUUGUAACUUUGUGCAACAUUAACC